AGGAGCAAUGCCAAAAGAUAAGCAAUUAGAGCUUAAAGACUACUUUAUUAAACAGAUUCGCGCUUUUAUGAAUGGCGAUAUCCCAGUUGCGACGGUAUCUAACAAAUCAUCUGCAUCUAGCAAUACUGUUAAACCUAUUGCGAGUGCUUGGAAACGUAAUAGUUAUGGUACGUAUUAUAUGGCAGAGAAAGCGCGUUUUAUCAACGGUAAUCAACCUAUUACUGUGAGACUACAAGGGCCAUUUACAACUUGUCC
rnacentral:ncRNA from 1 species